AGAGUUUGAUCCUGGCUCAGGAUGAACGCUGGCGGCGUGCUUAACACAUGCAAGUCGAACGGUGAAGCCCAGCUUGCUGGGUGGAUCAGUGGCGAACGGGUGAGUAACACGUGAGCAAUCUGCCCCUGACUCUGGGAUAAGCGCUGGAAACGGCGUCUAAUACUGGAUACGAACCGUGGAGGCAUCUUCAACGGUUGGAAAGAUUUUUUGGUCAGGGAUGAGCUCGCGGCCUAUCAGCUUGUUGGUGAGGUAAUGGCUCACCAAGGCGUCGACGGGUAGCCGGCCUGAGAGGGUGACCGGCCACACUGGGACUGAGACACGGCCCAGACUCCUACGGGAGGCAGCAGUGGGGAAUAUUGCACAAUGGGCGCAAGCCUGAUGCAGCAACGCCGCGUGAGGGAUGACGGCCUUCGGGUUGUAAACCUCUUUUAGCAGGGAAGAAGCGAAAGUGACGGUACCUGCAGAAAAAGCGCCGGCUAACUACGUGCCAGCAGCCGCGGUAAUACGUAGGGCGCAAGCGUUAUCCGGAAUUAUUGGGCGUAAAGAGCUCGUAGGCGGUUUGUCGCGUCUGCUGUGAAAUCCCGAGGCUCAACUUCGGGUCUGCAGUGGGUACGGGCAGACUAGAGUGCGGUAGGGGAGAUUGGAAUUCCUGGUGUAGCGGUGGAAUGCGCAGAUAUCAGGAGGAACACCGAUGGCGAAGGCAGAUCUCUGGGCCGUAACUGACGCUGAGGAGCGAAAGGGUGGGGAGCAAACAGGCUUAGAUACCCUGGUAGUCCACCCCGUAAACGUUGGGAACUAGUUGUGGGGUCCAUUCCACGGAUUCCGUGACGCAGCUAACGCAUUAAGUUCCCCGCCUGGGGAGUACGGCCGCAAGGCUAAAACUCAAAGGAAUUGACGGGGACCCGCACAAGCGGCGGAGCAUGCGGAUUAAUUCGAUGCAACGCGAAGAACCUUACCAAGGCUUGACAUAUACGAGAACGCUGCAGAAAUGUAGAACUCUUUGGACACUCGUAAACAGGUGGUGCAUGGUUGUCGUCAGCUCGUGUCGUGAGAUGUUGGGUUAAGUCCCGCAACGAGCGCAACCCUCGUUCUAUGUUGCCAGCACGUAAUGGUGGGAACUCAUGGGAUACUGCCGGGGUCAACUCGGAGGAAGGUGGGGAUGACGUCAAAUCAUCAUGCCCCUUAUGUCUUGGGCUUCACGCAUGCUACAAUGGCCGGUACAAAGGGCUGCAAUACCGUGAGGUGGAGCGAAUCCCAAAAAGCCGGUCCCAGUUCGGAUUGAGGUCUGCAACUCGACCUCAUGAAGUCGGAGUCGCUAGUAAUCGCAGAUCAGCAACGCUGCGGUGAAUACGUUCCCGGGUCUUGUACACACCGCCCGUCAAGUCAUGAAAGUCGGUAACACCUGAAGCCGGUGGCCCAACCCUUGUGGAGGGAGCCGUCGAAGGUGGGAUCGGUAAUUAGGACUAAGUCGUAACAAGGUAGCCGUACCGGAAGGUGCGGCUG
rnacentral:rRNA from 1 species